rnacentral:lncRNA from 1 species
GAGAAAAAAAUUCUUUACCUUGAGUUGAGUUGAGAAUUAUUGAAUGCUAUUGAUAAAGGUUCAAGUUUGGGGUUGUUGGGAGAAUAGAAAGGCAAAAGAAAAGCAUUGAGCUAAUGUGUUGAAUGAAAAAUCAUGAGAAAAGAUAGAAAAGAAAAGAAAAGAAAAGCGUGAAAGAUAAGCUCAAUGCAAAAGCAAAGGAAAAAGGGAAAAGUUGGGAAUGAGUGAGAUUGGUUGAAAAAGAGUUGGUGCUUGAACUAUGAAUGUUGAAUAACUCUCUUAACUCAAGGAUUUUGUGAUCUAGA